GAUGAACGCUGACAGAAUGCUUAACACAUGCAAGUCAACUUGAAUUUGGGUUUUUUAACUUAGAUUUGGGUGGCGGACGGGUGAGUAACGCGUAAAGAACUUGCCUCACAGCUAGGGACAACAUUUGGAAACGAAUGCUAAUACCUGAUAUUAUGAUUAUAAGGCAUCUUAGAAUUAUGAAAGCUAUAUGCGCUGUGAGAGAGCUUUGCGUCCCAUUAGCUAGUUGGAGAGGUAACGGCUCACCAAGGCGAUGAUGGGUAGCCGGCCUGAGAGGGUGAACGGCCACAAGGGGACUGAGACACGGCCCUUACUCCUACGGGAGGAAGCAGUGGGGAAUAUUGGACAAUGGACCAAGAGUCUGAUCCAGCAAUUCUGUGUGCACGAUGACGUUUUUCGGAAUGUAAAGUGCUUUCAGUUGGGAAGAAAAAAAUGACGGUACCAACAGAAGAAGUGACGGCUAAAUACGU
rnacentral:rRNA from 1 species